rnacentral:rRNA from 1 species
AUACGGAGGGUGCAAGCGUUACUCGGAAUCACUGGGCGUAAAGGACGCGUGGGCGGGAUAGUAAGUCUGAUGUGAAAUCCUAUGGCUCAACCAUAGAACUGCAUUGGAAACUACUGACCUAGAGUAUGGGAGGGGGAGAUGGAAUUAGUAGUGUAGGGGUAAAAUCCGUAGAUAUUACUAGGAAUACCGAAAGCGAAGGCGAUCUCCUGGAACAAUACUGACGCUAAGGCGUGAAAGCGUGGGGAGCAAACAGGAUUAGAAACCCUAGUAGUCC